GGCGGAGGGAAGAGGUUGCCGUGUUUCUGGGAUUAGUGAUGGCUUCUCUUCCCGGUUGGGUCGUCCCGGCGCGGCCCGUCGAUGGCGGCGGCUGCUCGGUGCACUGGUUCCGACGGGGCCUGAGGCUCCACGAUAACCCUGCGCUGCAGGCGGCCGUCCGGGAGGGCGGCUCCGUGCGCUGCAUCUACAUCCUGGAUCCCUGGUUCGCGGCCUCCUCCGCUGUGGGCAUCAACCGCUGGCGGUUCUUGCUCCAGUCCCUGGAAGACUUGGACAACAGUUUAAGAAAACUCAGCUCCCGCUUAUUUGUUGUACGAGGCCAGCCCACUGAUGUAUUUCCAAGACUCUUUAAAGAAUGGGGAGUGACCCGUCUUACCUUUGAAUAUGACUCAGAACCAUUUGGGAAAGAAAGAGAUGCUGCUAUAGUGAAGUUGGCUAAAGAAGCUGGUGUGGAAGUGAUGAUAGAGAAUUCGCACACCCUUUAUGACUUGGACAGGAUAAUUGAACUGAAUGGACACAAACCUCCUCUUACGUAUAAGCGUUUCCAGGCCAUCAUUAGCCGUAUGGAACUGCCUAAGAAGCCAGCUGCUGCCAUAACAAGUGGUCAGAUGGAAAAAUGUAAGAUGGAGAUCCAAGAAAAUCAUGAUGAGACAUAUGGGGUUCCAUCCCUGGAGGAGCUGGGUUUCCCCACUGAUGGUCUUGCCCCUGCUGUUUGGCAAGGAGGAGAAACUGAAGCCUUAACUCGUCUGGAUAAACAUUUGGAAAGAAAGGCAUGGGUUGCAAAUUAUGAAAGGCCAAGGAUGAACGCCCAUUCAUUGCUGGCAAGCCCCACAGGGCUCAGUCCCUACCUUCGUUUUGGCUGCUUAUCCUGCCGCCUAUUCUAUUAUCGUCUCCGGGAACUAUACAAAAAGGUGAAGCGGAAUAGUACUCCUCCACUAUCACUAUAUGGUCAGUUGCUAUGGAGAGAAUUUUUCUAUACAGCUGCAACAAACAAUCCUAAAUUUGACCGUAUGGAAGGAAACCCAAUCUGCAUCCAGAUCCCAUGGGACAGGAAUCCUGAAGCCUUGGCAAAAUGGGCAGAAGGCAAGACAGGAUUUCCCUGGAUCGAUGCCAUCAUGACACAGUUGAGACAGGAAGGUUGGAUUCAUCAUCUGGCUCGGCAUGCUGUAGCUUGCUUUCUGACUAGAGGUGACCUGUGGAUCAGCUGGGAGUCUGGAGUGAGGGUGUUUGAUGAGCUGUUGCUGGAUGCAGAUUUCAGUGUGAAUUCAGGCAGCUGGAUGUGGCUUUCAUGCAGUGCUUUCUUCCAACAGUUCUUCCACUGUUAUUGCCCUGUUGGCUUUGGACGUCGUACAGAUCCUAGUGGUGACUUUGUCAGACGAUAUCUGCCAAAGCUGAAAGGCUUUCCCUCACGCUAUAUCUAUGAGCCUUGGAAUGCCCCUGAGUCAGUGCAGAAGGCAGCUAAAUGUAUCAUUGGUAUAGACUAUCCGAAACCUAUGGUGAAUCAUGCAGAAACCAGUCGACUGAACAUUGAGCGCAUGAAGCAGAUUUACCAGCAACUAUCACGCUACAGAGGCCUCUGUUUAUUGGCCUCUGUCCCUUCCUGCAUGGAAGACCUCAACAACCCAGCCAUAGACCCUUCUGUGGGACAGGGAAGCAGUACUAGUACAAUGCCAAGGCAGUCCCACUUGGGCCAUACUUCUCCAAAACGGAAACAUGAAGCUGCAGGUGAACACAGUGAAGAACUUUACAAACGAGCCAGGAUAACAGCUCUACAGAUCUCAGAGAAUCCACACCAAGAACUUGAGAAUCCUGAGAUGGGAGAUUGACAAGGCAACAACUGUGUGCUGGAGUGGCCUCUGCAGUAGCAUAGCGGUGUCACUGCCAGAAGGAUCAGAAGAUUGGCAAACUUCAUCAGCUGAGUGUCUGUAUGAAUGUGUAACCCAGAUGGCUGCCAGACAAGGAUUCUGCAGUUCCAGUGCAGGAUGCAGUGAGCAAGACCAAACAGAAUGCCUGAAAAUGUAUUCAUAAUGUCUGGUGAAGUUUCUGAAACCAGAAGAGUUGUUGAGUAAGAUUUCUUGUGAUCAGCAGGUGUGGCUUCAGUACCAUAUGUAGCUCCUUCCUCCUCCCAAGACUAGCAGAAGCAAAAUAAAUUACACAGAAUAAAUAAAACUUGAUUUGCAAACUCUGCUCUGUUCCAAUUAGGCAAAGUAAUCCUUGUUAAACAAAAAUAUAUUUCAUUCUUUCCUUUGUGUGAAUUUUCUUCCUACAAGUGUUCUCCUCAGAAAGAAAGAACUGUUUCCUGUUGUGGAAUGACUCAUCUGCUUAUAGCACCCUGGCAUUUCCCCCCUUUACUAGAGGAAAUUCCUAACAUGGAUUGAACCAAAUGCAUUGUAAUGGCUUGGGGAGGGGGGUGUCACUUGGAUUAAGCAAAGAUGACAGAUCUUCCCCAUAUAUAAACUUUUUCCAGUACUUCGCUUGUGUUGUUCUAUUUUCACAACUAUAGGUUGCAGUGAAUUUGCAUCUUUAAAUAUUCCCAGGUUAUGUGCCCUGCACAGCAUGCCUCACCUUGAUCUUACUGAGCAUUUCGAAUUCUAACCAGACAUGUUUCCAUCAUUUGAUUUCAGUGUAGCCUUGGCAGGAUUGCUGGACAUCUUCCUGCAUCACACCAAUGGGAAAUGUCAUGUUUUCAAGACCUUGGGAAGAGUGUUUCAUGUAGCUGGUAUCAUGCAGCUAUCCAGAAUAGUAACUUUAGCUCUGUAAAGUACUUUGGUUAUGUUAGUAAAUUCCAAGAAGCUCAUUGCAGAUGCAGUGAUAUUUCUUGGCAGUAUAUGGAGCUGGAAAAUUGCUUGAUGGUCUGCUCUAAUGUAGCAGGAACACUGACCCUUACCUGGGCUUUGGAUUUGAGAACACUGGUAAGGGGGGAAAUGGACUUAGUGACACCUGAAACUAUGCAGUUAUGGGGGAAGUCAUACAGUUCUAUAAGAUGUACCACUGUAAUUAUGUGGUAUAUGUGAAACAGCUAGUAAACCCUUCUCUGAAAAGGGAAGUAACAGUAAUGCUUCUCUGUGGCCUGCUUUCUAAACGAGUAUGCUUGGCUCCUCUGUAGAGAAAGCUAUGUAUUUUUAGUGGCCUGUCUCCUUCUAAAUAUUCAACCUCAAAUGGUAGAGGACAGGAGAAGAAUUCAUCCUGUAUUGCAGAGUAGGAAAGAAACGCAUUUUCUACACUUCAGAUUCAGAAACUGUGACUUCUCUUCCUUGAAAUGUUUUUCAGCUUUGACAAUUGUUGUGUUUAUUAAUUUGUUUUAUAAAUGUCUUUAU